GGUCGACCUCGGAUCAGUAGGAUCCGCUGACUUAGCAUAUCAUUAGCGGAGGA
rnacentral:rRNA from 1 species